CCACUUGGUGGAUAACUGCAAGUUUUCAUUCAAUUCAAUCACAAUAAUUGUUCUCUCUUGUAUACAAUUGAGGGUGGAAUGAAGAAAAUAAGUGGAAAAAUAAUAACUAGCUAGUUGAAAGCCAACCAAUGUUGACUUCUUUAACAGCCUAACCAACCAAAACUAGCUAAAAAUUGAAAACUAGUUACUAAAAAUUAACUAACUAAAUUUGAAGUAUGUUCUAGAUCCUUGAAUGUAGACUCCAUCUGAUAUACAUGAAUUUGCUUUAGCUGAGGGCCUUCUUCCUAUUCUCACACUUCACACUUCCUGCAACAGAAAAAUGGUUGUCUCCUCCUACACUUCCUACACCAGAUAAAAGGAAAUUGCACAAAAAGAUACAUUAAUAUAAUAAAUUCUGAUUACAAAAAGAAAUAAUAGCUUAUUAAAUUCUAGAAGCACAUACCUAAAAAAAUAAAUCAUACGUGCAUAAUAUUUUGUAUAUGGUUACAAAAAACAAUGGAAAAUACUGUGUUGUUACAAUUUCGAUAAAUUCGUCCUCCUCAUAAUUCUUGCUAUCAGUUUGAUGUACAAUGAGAUUUUGCGACUUAUCUUGAUCACAGUAGUGAUGAUGAAAAGCCCUGAGAAAGUGAAGGAGAUCAUAGCCAUUAUCUGUUUUUAAUCUAGACCGCCCACACAUAUCACUAAAAAGUCGUCGCAUCAGUGUAUCGACAGAAAUAUUAGAAGACCAAUCAACAAAUUUGAUAUUGAUUGCAAUAUUUCUAACCCACUUGUGGGUGUAAUCUCUUUUUCUAUUAUAUUUGUGCAUGUCAGCCGUCGCAUGUCUAGCUCGAACUCAACAUUCCUCAUAAAACAUGAAUCUCCUUCGCCAUGGCCACAAUGCUGGAUGAUUCUUCACGAAUUCCACUGGAAUAACAGUUUUAUAUCUACUAGUCAUGUAUAACAUAUUAACGCUGUCAAUUAGGUUAAUUCAAUCAGAAGGUAACUCUUGCAUCUCUUUACCAAGUAUGGUAUAACAAAUCAUGCUAGCCAACUCAGUCACAUCAGCAUUUUUCGAUUUCUCUUUGAAAUCACCAUUUUUUUUCUCUGACUUAUCAUCAUGCACAAUAAAAACUUUAAUGAUGUCUCUCACAUGUGCACCAAAAUAGCACUUCAUUCCAAAUUUCAACAAAAAGUUCUUAUGAUUAUGAAGAUAACCGUGAAUUCCAUUCUUAUCAUGAAAUUCUAUGACAGCUAUUAUCACACCCUGCACUAAUUGCACCGUAUCUAAUGUGGGCCAUUCUGAGUUCCAAUUGAUAGAUGCUACCUUGUUGUUACUUUUAGUAGGAUCCAAAUUCCAUGUGUGGUGCUUGCUUGACCACCUAGCAUCAGUGUUGUGUUUAAUCAACCAUUCUUCAAGAUUAUAAUCGUAUGACUCAUUUACACAUAUAUUCUUCCUUUCAGUAGUCAUCACCGUGGAUUGGAGAAGGAGAAGGAGAGCGAGAGACCCUCUCCAAGCCGGCGGCAGUUAGAAUAACGAUUCGAGAGAGAAGAGUGGAAAGGACUAAGUAAUUGUUUGAUUGAGCCACACUGCCACUGCAGGUUGAUAAACACCGGUGAUGUCGUGAUGAGGACUGAUCUUGGAAGAGGAGCUUGAAGACCAACCGAAGAGAGGAUUGACAAUGAGAAUUGAUGACCAGACCAAAAAGCAGUGAGCGCGGAGGAGGAGGAGAAUGGUGCGGCGCCUGGUCUGGAGAAAAUUACUUAAGUUAGCCCU
rnacentral:misc_RNA from 1 species